GUGGAGCAUUUCAGCAGGACAUGCAUUGUGGUUUCAUUCUCCUCUUCACAGUUUCUGCACGUUGGGUGGAUAUGGUUAUUGAAACGGGCCAGGUUUGCUUUGAGCCUGUUGUGGCCUGUUCUUAGCCUGAAAAGUACCCUGGAGAUGUAUCUGGAUUUGUGUGCGUGCCAUUUAAGUGGGCCAGUUCGGUGUCUCCUCUGUAUGCCCUGAAGAUGGAGCUUUGUUCUGUGGCAGAUAGUUGGUUGCUGAUGAGUCUGCCGAUGUCUUGUCUUGAGCUUUCUUCUGAUGCUAGCUUAUCUGCCUUUUCGUUUCCUGCUAUUCCGAUAUGGCUUGGCACCCAGUAGAGAUUGACUUUGGGUUGUCAAUGGUUUGGAGGAUUGAUCUGGAGUCUGUGAUUAUGGUAUCCUGGUGCCUGAUAGGAAUAGCAAUGGUUGAGACUGAGGGCGUUUUUGUCUGGUGAAGUUUACCAUGUUGGAUUUUGCAGCCGAGAACUUGACGCGCCAUUUCUUGCUCCAUUUGCUUAUGGAUUCUA